rnacentral:rRNA from 1 species
CUGUCUCCAUUUAUUUUCCUCUAAUUUACUUAUGAAGUGAAAAUUCUUCAGGCAAAUUUAAAAGACGAGAAGACCCUAAGAAUUAUAAUAAAAAAGUUUUUUAAUAUAAAUAUAAAUUUUCGUUGGGGCAACGAGGGAAAUAAUCUUUGAAUUUCCUUUUUUAGGUAGUACAUGCCGAAAAUUUUUAUGUAAGAAUUAAUUACCUUAGGGAUAACAGCAUAAUUAAAUAUUUUAGAUUGUGACCUCGAUGUUGGACUAG